CGUAUCCAACUGCCCAUCACUUGGGGAUUAACCUUGCGAAAGUAAGACUAAUACCCAAUGACGUCUCUAGAAGACAUCUGAAAGAGAUUAAAGAUUUAUCGGUGAUGGAUGGGGAUGCGUCUGAUUAGCUUGUUGGCGGGUUAACGGCCCACCAAGGCGACGAUCAGUAGGGGUUCUGAGAGGAAGGUCCCCCACAUUGGAACUGAGACACGGUCCAAACUCCUACGGGAGGCAGCAGUGAGGAAUAUUGGUCAAUGGACGAGAGUCUGAACCAGCCAAGUAGCGUGCAGGAUGACGGCCCUAUGGGUUGUAAACUGCUUUUAUAAGGGAAUAAAGUGAGUCUCGUGAGACUUUUUGCAUGUACCUUAUGAAUAAGGACCGGCUAAUUCCGUG
rnacentral:rRNA from 1 species